CGGAAUUAUGUCCAGGACACGUUGGGCGGUACACACAACCUUAUUAGACUGGGAAUGUUUUCCACCACGGCAUGUUCGAAACGGCCAUGUACAGGAGAUUGUUGGAUCAUCCAGCUGAGAGAAACGACGUCUGAGCAUCACCGGCCAGGUUUAGAAACGAGAAAAGAAACAUUCAUGAUUCAUCCGAUUCCGAACCGCUGAUCGAAAAGGUUAUUCUAGUCGUUAUUGCUGGGCACUUUUAUUCCUGAUAUUUUUCUUCAUAAUAAAAGGUGAGACAUUGGGGGAGAUUUUUCUCUAUGUGCAGUGCCAAGUCAACAGAAUGCCUUUGUGAUGUAUCAUGUUGUGAGAUGAAAAUGGAAAGAAAACAGGAAAUCUGAAAUGAUUCCUUGGUCAAUUUGGUGUUGAAGCUGAUAAUGGUGGUGAGGUCUCGUGUGCUGUGGUGUGGCAGUCAUUUUCUGAUUGAGAGAUGCACUGAUAUGGAGCUUCUGCAGGCUUGCAGUUCAACAUCAGACUUCAAUUUAUCAUGUUGGUGUCCAUGCAGUGUUGAGCUGUUGUGCAAAAUAGUUGUUGUUGCCUGAUGGCUGCCUGUCAUUUUGUUGGUGUGUUCUUUUUCUACCUGUUCCCAUGUUGAGUUCAAUCGUAUGUCGCCGUUCCACACCUAACCUAUUGGUGAAGCUAAGAAGAGAUUGCUAAACUUCAAGAGAUUGAUAAAUUAUUUAGCUUAGACAAUUUGCAUAUCUGUUCUCCCUUUCCCCAAGUAAACAAAUUAUCCUCUGGCUAGUUGUGUGAAUUGCAAUGAGAUUAUAUUUCUGUGAGAAAGUUCAGCCAAACCACGAAUGUUCCGAUACACUACUGUUUCCGUAACAAGUCUAAACCUUUUCGCUCUUAAUCAAUAACAUUACCUCGUUAAAAAGAAAUAAAUAAUUGAAACCUAAA